rnacentral:rRNA from 1 species
GGGUUGUGAGGUUAAGCGACUAAGCGUACACGGUGGAUGCCCUGGCAGUCAGAGGCGAUGAAGGACGUGCUAAUCUGCGAUAAGCGUCGGUAAGGUGAUAUGAACCGUUAUAACCGGCGAUUUCCGAAUGGGGAAACCCAGUGUGUUUCGACACACUAUCAUUAACUGAAUCCAUAGGUUAAUGAGGCGAACCGGGGGAACUGAAACAUCUAAGUACCCCGAGGAAAAGAAAUCAACCGAGAUUCCCCCAGUAGCGGCGAGCGAACGGGGAGGAGCCCAGAGCCUGAAUCAGUGUGUGUGUUAGUGGAAGCGUCUGGAAAGGCGCGCGAUACAGGGUGACAGCCCCGUACACAAAAAUGCACAUACUGUGAGCUCGAUGAGUAGGGCGGGACACGUGGUAUCCUGUCUGAAUAUGGGGGGACCAUCCUCCAAGGCUAAAUACUCCUGACUGACCGAUAGUGAACCAGUACCGUGAGGGAAAGGCGAAAAGAACCCCGGCGAGGGGAGUGAAAAAGAACCUGAAACCGUGUACGUACAAGCAGUGGGAGCCUCUUUUUAUGGGGUGACUGCGUACCUUUUGUAUAAUGGGUCAGCGACUUAUAUUCUGUAGCAAGGUUAACCGAAUAGGGGAGCCGAAGGGAAACCGAGUCUUAACUGGGCGUUAAGUUGCAGGGUAUAGACCCGAAACCCGGUGAUCUAGCCAUGGGCAGGUUGAAGGUUGGGUAACACUAACUGGAGGACCGAACCGACUAAUGUUGAAAAAUUAGCGGAUGACUUGUGGCUGGGGGUGAAAGGCCAAUCAAACCGGGAGAUAGCUGGUUCUCCCCGAAAGCUAUUUAGGUAGCGCCUCGUGAAUUCAUCUCCGGGGGUAGAGCACUGUUUCGGCAAGGGGGUCAUCCCGACUUACCAACCCGAUGCAAACUGCGAAUACCGGAGAAUGUUAUCACGGGAGACACACGGCGGGUGCUAACGUCCGUCGUGAAGAGGGAAACAACCCAGACCGCCAGCUAAGGUCCCAAAGUCAUGGUUAAGUGGGAAACGAUGUGGGAAGGCCCAGACAGCCAGGAUGUUGGCUUAGAAGCAGCCAUCAUUUAAAGAAAGCGUAAUAGCUCACUGGUCGAGUCGGCCUGCGCGGAAGAUGUAACGGGGCUAAACCAUGCACCGAAGCUGCGGCAGCGACGCUUAUGCGUUGUUGGGUAGGGGAGCGUUCUGUAAGCCUGUGAAGGUGUACUGUGAGGUAUGCUGGAGGUAUCAGAAGUGCGAAUGCUGACAUAAGUAACGAUAAAGCGGGUGAAAAGCCCGCUCGCCGGAAGACCAAGGGUUCCUGUCCAACGUUAAUCGGGGCAGGGUGAGUCGACCCCUAAGGCGAGGCCGAAAGGCGUAGUCGAUGGGAAACAGGUUAAUAUUCCUGUACUUGGUGUUACUGCGAAGGGGGGACGGAGAAGGCUAUGUUGGCCGGGCGACGGUUGUCCCGGUUUAAGCGUGUAGGCUGGUUUUCCAGGCAAAUCCGGAAAAUCAAGGCUGAGGCGUGAUGACGAGGCACUACGGUGCUGAAGCAACAAAUGCCCUGCUUCCAGGAAAAGCCUCUAAGCAUCAGGUAACAUCAAAUCGUACCCCAAACCGACACAGGUGGUCAGGUAGAGAAUACCAAGGCGCUUGAGAGAACUCGGGUGAAGGAACUAGGCAAAAUGGUGCCGUAACUUCGGGAGAAGGCACGCUGAUAUGUAGGUGAAGCGACUUGCUCGUGGAGCUGAAAUCAGUCGAAGAUACCAGCUGGCUGCAACUGUUUAUUAAAAACACAGCACUGUGCAAACACGAAAGUGGACGUAUACGGUGUGACGCCUGCCCGGUGCCGGAAGGUUAAUUGAUGGGGUUAGCGGUAACGCGAAGCUCUUGAUCGAAGCCCCGGUAAACGGCUACCGUAACUAUAACGGUCCUAAGGUAGCGAAAUUCCUUGUCGGGUAAGUUCCGACCUGCACGAAUGGCGUAAUGAUGGCCAGGCUGUCUCCACCCGAGACUCAGUGAAAUUGAACUCGCUGUGAAGAUGCAGUGUACCCGCGGCAAGACGGAAAGACCCCGUGAACCUUUACUAUAGCUUGACACUGAACAUUGAGCCUUGAUGUGUAGGAUAGGUGGGAGGCUUUGAAGUGUGGACGCCAGUCUGCAUGGAGCCGGCCUUGAAAUACCACCCUUUAAUGUUUGAUGUUCUAACGUUGGCCCCUGAUCGGGGUUGCGGACAGUGUCUGGUGGGUAGUUUGACUGGGGCGGUCUCCUCCUAAAGAGUAACGGAGGAGCACGAAGGUUGGCUAAUCCUGGUCGGACAUCAGGAGGUUAGUGCAAUGGCAUAAGCCAGCUUGACUGCGAGCGUGACGGCGCGAGCAGGUGCGAAAGCAGGUCAUAGUGAUCCGGUGGUUCUGAAUGGAAGGGCCAUCGCUCAACGGAUAAAAGGUACUCCGGGGAUAACAGGCUGAUACCGCCCAAGAGUUCAUAUCGACGGCGGUGUUUGGCACCUCGAUGUCGGCUCAUCACAUCCCGGGGCUGAAGUAGGUCCCAAGGGUAUGGCUGUUCGCCAUUUAAAGUGGUACGCGAGCUGGGUUUAGAACGUCGUGAGACAGUUCGGUCCCUAUCUGCCGUGGGCGCUGGAGAACUGAGGGGGGCUGCUCCUAGUACGAGAGGACCGGAGUGGACGCAUCACUGGUGUUCGGGUUGUCAUGCCAAUGGCACUGCCCGGUAGCUAAAUGCGGAAGAGAUAAGUGCUGAAAGCAUCUAAGCACGAAACUUGCCCCGAGAUGAGUUCUCCCUGAGACUUUAAGUCUCCUGAAGGAACGUUGAAGACGACGACGUUGAUAGGCCGGGUGUGUAAGCGCAGCGAUGCGUUGAGCUAACCGGUACUAAUGAACCGUGAGGCUUAACCUUACAACGCCGAAGGUGUUU